rnacentral:rRNA from 1 species
AUUGAACGCUGGCGGCAUGCCUUACACAUGCAAGUCGAACGGUAGAGGGGGCAACCCCUUGAGAGUGGCGAACGGGUGAGUAAUGCAUCGGAACGUGCCCAGUCGUGGGGGAUAGCCCGGGGAAACCCGGAUUAAUACCGCAUACGACCUGAGGGUGAAAGCGGGGGACCGAAAGGCCUCGCGCGAUUGGAGCGGCCGAUGUCGGAUUAGGUAGUUGGUGGGGUAAAGGCCUACCAAGCCUGCGAUCCGUAGCUGGUCUGAGAGGACGACCAGCCCCACUGGGACUGAGACAAGGCCCAGACUCCUACGGGAGGCAGCAGUGGGGAAUUUUGGACAAUGGGCGCAAGCCUGAUCCAGCCAUGCCGCGUGCGGGAAGAAGGCCUUCGGGUUGUAAACCGCUUUUGUCAGAGAAGAAAUCCUUUGGACUAAUACUCUGGGGGGACGACGGUACCUGAAGAAUAAGCACCGGCUAACUACGUGCCAGCAGCCGCCGUAA